UACGGAGGGUGCAAGCGUUGUCCGGAUUUACUGGGUUUAAAGGGUGCGUAGGCGGGUUGUUAAGUCAGUGGUGAAAGCCUGCAGCUUAACUGCAGAAGUGCCAUUGAUACUGGCGAUCUUGAGUACAGUAGAGGUAGGCGGAAUUUAUGGUGUAGCGGUGAAAUGCAUAGAUACCAUAAAGAACACCGAUAGCGAAGGCAGCUUACUAUGCUGUUACUGACGCUGAGGCACGAAAGCGUGGGGAUCAAACAGG
rnacentral:rRNA from 1 species